CAGGCCUAACACAUGCAAGUCGCACGAGCACCUUCGGGUGGUAGUGGCGCACGGGUGAGUAACGCGUGGGAAUCUACCCUGGGGUGUGGGAUAACCGUUGGAAACGACGGCUAAUACCACAUGAUGUCGAUAAGCACAAAGAUGUAUCGCCCGAGGAUGAGCCCGCGUUGGAUUAGCUAGUUGGUGGGGUAAAGGCCUACCAAGCCGACGAUCCAUAGCUGGUCUGAGAGGAUGAUCAGCCACACUGGGACUGAGACACGGCCCAGACUCCUACGGGAGGCAGCAGUGGGGAAUAUUGGACAAUGGGCGCAAGCCUGAUCCAGCAAUGCCGCGUGAAUGAUGAA
rnacentral:rRNA from 1 species